rnacentral:pre_miRNA from 1 species
CAGGUCCCUUCUGGUUCUACACUUCUAUGAUUCUGUAAAAGGGGAAUCAUAGGCUUGGAGAAUGGCAAGGGGUCAG